CCCUUUACUUACUUGUUUUACUUCAUUGUCUAUCCUUUGCUUCGGCUAUUGCACUUCAUACUAGGGUUGCAUUCUCUUUAAAGAAUCUAGUAAACCCAAUGAUUAAGUGUUUGUAUCUUUCAAGAAAAGAAAAGAAAAAAAGUAAAAUUUGUUAGUCGCCUAUUCACCCCCUCUUUUAGUCGACCAUACCGAUCUUUCAAUUGGUAUCAGAGCCUCGUCUCUUAAUUAGGGUGUAACAGCUCUUAAGAGUAUGGUCGGCAAUGAUGGGGAAUCCACUAAAAAAACCCAUGAAGCCGAGGUGUUAGAUGAAAAUGCUCCACUAACUUUUAAAGCCAUCAAAAUGAUAUUGGAUAGCAUGCAAAAGGUGAUUCUAGAUAGUGUGGACAAAG
rnacentral:lncRNA from 1 species